AUGAACAAUUGCUCAUCCCCUGAAACAUUCAGAGAUGAAGAUAUUUCAGACAGAAGUAACCUUUUCUCUGAGGACUGUGUCAAAUAUAAGAACUCAACUCUCCUGGACUCCAGCAAAGCAAUGACCAUAGACAAGAUGCCACAGAUCUCAAAUCUGUCAGCAAUAUUAGAACCUAUGCUGGAGGAUUUUCAAGACCAAUACACUAGAAGAAAUAAACCAUCAAAAUGCAAUUACAGUUCUUCAGCAUUAAAUGUUUCAACUACUCUAGCAGGGAAACAAGUCUGUAAAAUUACAACUGCAAGAGAGAGAACUCCAGACCUAAAAGCUGGUAUGYGCUGUUCUUCACCGAUAGGACCAGAAAGAAAGCCUGACAAUCAAACCACUAAACCCAAAAAGCUGAAGUGCAAGAAAAAAGCUGAAUUCUCUAGUGCUUUAGAAGAAGAUGUAUCGUCAUUCAGCCAGCUUGAAUCUGCCCCAGAAAACACUUCAGCCAAAUCAGUGGAGUUGACAGCACAAGUACUGCCAUCCAAACAGCCAGAUGCUCUGCCUCCACRUAACAGAGAAGAAAUCUGCUCCAUUGUUAGAACUUCACCAGUUCACAGGUCUUCCAGGCUUCACCAAAUUCCGGUUAACAGAAGUGCGUUCUGCCUUCCCAAACGAGUGCCCGAAGAUACUAUUACAAGUACCAAAAAUUGGGUCUACAAUAAACAUAUAUGAGAUUUUUGGUUUUCAGCAAGAGUCAACAGAAGAAAAAGGGUCUUGCUUCUGUGGCAGGGAGGUGAAAUGGGAACAAUAAGAAGAAUUACUGGCUGAAUUUUUUUGGCUUAUACACUGUCUGAAACUUAGUAUAAUGCUGUGUAGUAAGCCUGUAAAUGCUUUUCUUGAGCACUUUAAUAUUAAAAUUUUUGUACARGCAACUAGAUCUCUUUUUGGGCAUUGUUCUAUAAGUACUCCAUAAAGAUGAUUCUUUAGUUAGUUAAUUUUUUUUUUAAAUUGUGACUCAAGGGCAGCAGAACAGAUUGUGUUGAUGGAAUUACUUUUGGCACUUGCUAUGCCAAGACUUCUAGAUUUCUUUAGUAGUAUAGGCAUUUAAAGAUGUGACCUCUACUUAAGUGUUAACAUUGUUCAUAAAGGCAUAAAGUUUCAGGACUAUAUGUCCUGAAAAUGUAAAYGUAAAGCAUUUAUGUGCUCUCAGUGACUCAGAAGUCAGUACAGGAUAUUAAGCUACCAUUAAACUACUUGCAUGCUUAAGUCUGCAGAACUUGGGGAUACAAGACUUUGUGUAUUCUAAUGUAAAUUGAUUGAUAAUCUUGAAGAUAGGUGGUCUUUGCCCUACCAUCAUCCCAGUACAGCUGUCUACUUAUGAUCAGCACUAGCAUCAUAUACAGUGCCCAGUCACUGUCUUCCCAUUUCAUCUCGGUUAUUCUGUAAUCCCACCUAUCUCCACCCAGCUCACCUUCAGCCCAAGUGCGUUCAGUCACCCCCAGAAUCCCUGGUAUUGGGGUAUUUGUUUUGGUUAUCUGUAACUUCUUGUCAUUUCUUGCCUCCUGCUACCUUUAACUUUUUCUUAAAAAAAAAAAACAAAAAAACCCAUCAAGUAGAAUGUAUGUCUCACUACAGUAAUAUGAUAUAGCUCUUCAUGCUUUUGGCUUAAGUUUCUAUUAAGUUUACAACCUGCCACUGCACUUUGUAUGUCACAUAUCAAUGGUCCUAAUAAACUCUUUAUUUUCUAGUGCA
rnacentral:lncRNA from 1 species